AGCAGAGACCUCAGAGGAAACACUCGCUCAUAAAGGGGAGCAGCAACUCUUCAAACUACUUACUUCAGUUGCUGUUCUUCAGGAUUGAUGCAAGAAAGAAAACAAACCCAUCACAGCACAUUAUUUCCCCUGCUGUCCAUAACAAAUACACAGCACAUAAUGGCAUUAUUGUCCUGACAUCUCAUCUUGUGUCAAUGAGAAAAAAGAAAUAAUACAGCUUUGGACAUGAGGGGACUCUUAUUCGUUGAACUGCUUCUUCAAAUGUAGAAUAAAAAACUCAAUGUG